UACAGAGGGUGCGAGCGUUAAUCGGAAUUACUGGGCGUAAAGCGUGCGUAGACGGCUAUCUAAGUCGGGUGUGAAAGCCCCGGGCUCAACCUGGGAAUUGCAUUCGAGACUGAAUAGCUAGGGUGCGGUAGAGGGAAGCGGAAUUUCCGGUGUAGCGGUGAAGUGCGUAGAUAUCGGAAGGAACAUCAGUGGCGAAAGCGGCUUCCUGGACCAGCACCGACGUUCAGGCACGAAAGCGUGGGGAGCAAACAGG
rnacentral:rRNA from 1 species